rnacentral:rRNA from 1 species
GACGAACGCUGGCGGCGUGCCUAAUACAUGCAAGUCGAGCGAUGAAGGGUGGUGCUUGUUCCCCUGACGUGAGCGGCGAACGGGUGAGUAACACGUGGAGAAUCUACCUUUAAGAGGGGGAUAACUUCGGGAAACCAGUGCUAAUACCGCAUAAUAAAUUUAACCGCAAGGUUUAAUUGUGAAAGACGCUUUUGCAUCAACCAAAGAAUGUAUCGCCGCCUAGUAGCUUAGUUGGGAGGGAAACGCUCAACAAGGCGAAGAUACAGAGGCGAACCGAGGGGGGGAACCGCCACAAUGGGACUGAGACACGGCCCAGACUUCUACGGGAGGCAGCAGUAGGGAAUCCUCGGGAAGGGACGGAAGUCUGACCGAGGAACGGCGGGGGAGGUAAGAAGGUUUUCGGAUUGGAAAAAUCUGUUGGUAGGGAAGAACGAAAGGGGGAGUUGAAAGUGCACGUAGUGACGGUACCUAACCAGAAAGGGACGGCUAACUACGUG